GGAGGGUCCAAGCGUUAUCCGGAAUCAUUGGGUUUAAAGGGUCCGUAGGCGGGUUAAUAAGUCAGAGUGAAAGUUUGCAGCUCAACUGUAAAAUUGCCUUUGAUACUGUUAGUCUUGAGUUAUAGUGAAGUGGUUAGAAUAAGUGGUGUAGCGGUGAAAUGCAUAGAUAUCACUUAGAAUACCGAUUGCGAAGGCAGAUCACUAACUGUAUACUGACGCUGAGGGACGAAAGCAUGGGUAGCGAACGGGAUUAGAUACCCCGGUAGUCCAUGCUGUAAACGAUGGAUACUAGCUGUUGGCUUCGGUCAGUGGCUAAGCGAAAGUGAUAAGUAUCCCACCUGGGGAGUACGUUCGCAAGAAUGAAACUCAAAGGAAUUGACGGGGGCCCGCACAAGCGGUGGAGCAUGUGGUUUAAUUCGAUGAUACGCGAGGAACCUUACCAGGGCUUAAAUGGGAGAUGACAGGGGCAGAGACGCCCUUUUCUUCGGACAUCUUUCAAGGUGCUGCAUGGUU
rnacentral:rRNA from 1 species